CGGUUAAAAAUGGUAGAGAACCGUCGUCGUUCAUUUUUCAGCAAGUCAUAGACGAGACUGUCCAGUCCUUCACUAUGCAGAUCGCUUUUGCGCUUUCUAAGAAUCUCUUCUCUCUGACGCAAUAUGUCGACGAGCUGUUCGUUGGGACAUCACUAUUGAGGAUGGUCAAGACUGUAGACAUACAGCGGGAGAAAUCACGGGCUAGUUGGUAAUUUUUAUCACUUCAUCUAUUACACACAAAUCAUAAUCGUUUUCGAAAUUAGUGACCAAAGCCGUUGAUGUCUUCAAACUGGAAUCUUAAGAUUGCCAGGAAUUCCCUCGUGUAACCUUCAUAAGCUGUGCUGAAUAGAGAGUGUGACACCAACAGGAUAUGAGUUUUAGAAUAUAAACGGGUUUCGAUUCGGUUAUAUUUUAGAACGUCAGGAAUUUCUUAACACAACACUGAUUAGCAUAGUGUGUACAAAAUCAAAUACAAAAAAGCUUUCUA